UCCUCAGCAGGGCAGGGACGUGGUGCAGAUGGUUCCCCCCAGCCCACACAAAGCCACAAGGCCUGGGAUGGGCCUGACCAGCCAAGCUGUGUCAAGCCCUGCUGAGCUGUGUUGAGCCAUAGUAAGCUGUAGAGCCAGGCAGAACCAUGCCAAGCCAUGUUAAGCUGAGCCAAGCAGUGCUGAUCUGUGCCAAGCCAUGCCAAGCUGUGCUGGGCCAUGUCAAGCUGUGUUGAGCCAUGCCAUGCUUCAGCCAGCCAGAGCAAGCAGGGAGCUAUGAGGAGCACAAGUCAUGUCAUGCCAACUCCUGGUGCCACAGGACCUGUUCAAAGGCUUGAAUUGAGACAAGCAACUCCUGGAGUUUCCCUGAAGGAAGCAAGGGGGCACCCUGGAUGGCUCAGACAACAUCUCCCUCCACUUAUAUAUGAUAAAACCCACUGGAAUUGACAAAGUGAGCACAGAUGCAGCACACUUACAGCUGGAGCCAGCUCACAGCACAUCAAGUGAUACCAGUCACCCAAUAAAGGUGUCAAGAAGAGGGGGCACUGGUGUGUAUAUCACUUCAAAAGGCAGCGUCUUCAUUUGCUUGUUACCUUCAAGGGCCUCUGCAGGAAGCAGUGGCUGAGCCAGAACCCAAAGAGCUCUUCCAGCCAAAGGUAUGACCAGAGCACAAGAGGCAUCAGGGAAGGCAGCACCAGCUAAAGCCUUUGCCAAGAGACAGCACUAACCACAGACACUGCUUUAUUUAUUGUUUAAUAUACAAAACCCCAGCAUUCAGCCUUGCAGCUUCAUGUCAGCCCUUCAGAGCCAAGCUCAGGCCCCCUCCCACCCUCUAAGAGGUCCCUCCAUGCCCCAGUUCACACACACAGGCACCAGCUUAACAAAGCUCUUUGGAAAUAAACCAAGAACAGAUCUUU